rnacentral:misc_RNA from 1 species
GAUGAAGAACGUAGCGAAAUGCGAUAAUUAAUGUGAAUUGCAGAAUUCCGUGAAUCAUCGAGCCUUUGAACGCACAUUGCGCCUCAUGGCAUUCCGUGAGGCAUGCCCAUCUCAGCGUUAGAAAAUAUUCUCAAAUUUUAGUUUUGUGCUAAAAUUUGGAUCAUGUCAAAGAAGCUAUUACUAUUAUUGUGAUCGCUCUUUGGAAAUUGAUAGGUCUUUGAGUUGCUACUCAUAGAACGUGAUGAAUCUUUCUUCGUUCUAUUGUAAUUCACUCUGGUAGUCCUAAAACUUGUAUGCCUGUGGCAUAUCUUGUAAUUUGACCUGAGAUUGGGUAGGGAUACCCGCUGAACUUAAGCAUAUCAAUAAGCGGAGGA